GGCGAAUGGCGCGUGCUUAACAUGUCAGUCGAACGAUGAACCGCUUUCGGGCGGGGAUUAGUGGCGAACGGGUGAGUAACACGUGGGCAAUCUGCCCUGCACUCUGGGACAAGCCCUGGAAACGGGGUCUAAUACCGGAUAUGACCGUCUGCCGCAUGGUGGAUGGUGUAAAGCUCCGGCGGUGCAGGAUGAGCCCGCGGCCUAUCAGCUUGUUGGUGAGGUAGUGGCUCACCAAGGCGACGACGGGUAGCCGGCCUGAGAGGGCGACCGGCCACACUGGGACUGAGACACGGCCCAGACUCCUACGGGAGGCAGCAGUGGGGAAUAUUGCACAAUGGGCGAAAGCCUGAUGCAGCGACGCCGCGUGAGGGAUGACGGCCUUCGGGUUGUAAACCUCUUUCAGCAGGGAAGAAGCGAAAGUGACGGUACCUGCAGAAGAAGCGCCGGCUAACUACGUGCCAGCAGCCGCGGUAAUACGUAGGGCGCAAGCGUUGUCCGGAAUUAUUGGGCGUAAAGAGCUCGUAGGCGGCUUGUCACGUCGGUUGUGAAAGCCCGGGGCUUAACCCCGGGUCUGCAGUCGAUACGGGCAGGCUAGAGUUCGGUAGGGGAGAUCGGAAUUCCUGGUGUAGCGGUGAAAUGCGCAGAUAUCAGGAGGAACACCGGUGGCGAAGGCGGAUCUCUGGGCCGAUACUGACGCUGAGGAGCAAAGCCUGGGGGAAAAAAAAAAAAGAACCCCAAGG
rnacentral:rRNA from 1 species